rnacentral:rRNA from 1 species
AGUCGAGCGRACAGAAGGGAGCUUGCUCCCGGAUGUUAGCGGCGGACGGGUGAGUAACACGUGGGUAACCUGCCUGUAAGACUGGGAUAACUCCGGGAAACCGGAGCUAAUACCGGAUAGUUCCUUGAACCGCAUGGUUCAAGGAUGAAAGACGGUUUCGGCUGUCACUUACAGAUGGACCCGCGGCGCAUUAGCUAGUUGGUGGGGUAAUGGCUCACCAAGGCGACGAUGCGUAGCCGACCUGAGAGGGUGAUCGGCCACACUGGGACUGAGACACGGCCCAGACUCCUACGGGAGGCAGCAGUAGGGAAUCUUCCGCAAUGGACGAAAGUCUGACGGAGCAACGCCGCGUGAGUGAUGAAGGUUUUCGGAUCGUAAAGCUCUGUUGUUAGGGAAGAACAAGUGCGAGAGUAACUGCUCGCACCUUGACGGUACCUAACCAGAAAGCCACGGCUAACUACGUGCCAGCAGCCGCGGUAAUACGUAGGUGGCAAGCGUUGUCCGGAAUUAUUGGGCGUAAAGGGCUCGCAGGCGGUUUCUUAAGUCUGAUGUGAAAGCCCCCGGCUCAACCGGGGAGGGUCAUUGGAAACUGGGAAACUUGAGUGCAGAAGAGGAGAGUGGAAUUCCACGUGUAGCGGUGAAAUGCGUAGAGAUGUGGAGGAACACCAGUGGCGAAGGCGACUCUCUGGUCUGUAACUGACGCUGAGGAGCGAAAGCGUGGGGAGCGAACAGGAUUAGAUACCCUGGUAGUCCACGCCGUAAACGAUGAGUGCUAAGUGUUAGGGGGUUUCCGCCCCUUAGUGCUGCAGCUAACGCAUUAAGCACUCCGCCUGGGGAGUACGGUCGCAAGACUGAAACUCAAAGGAAUUGACGGGGGCCCGCACAAGCGGUGGAGCAUGUGGUUUAAUUCGAAGCAACGCGAAGAACCUUACCAGGUCUUGACAUCCUCUGACAACCCUAGAGAUAGGGCUUUCCCUUCGGGGACAGAGUGACAGGUGGUGCAUGGUUGUCGUCAGCUCGUGUCGUGAGAUGUUGGGUUAAGUCCCGCAACGAGCGCAACCCUUGAUCUUAGUUGCCAGCAUUCAGUUGGGCACUCUAAGUGACUGCCGGUGACAACCGGAGGAAGGUGGGGAUGACGUCAAUCAUCAUGCCCUUAUGACUGGGCUACCCGUGCU